AAGCACCAACCUACUCGACCCUUCAGCCAGCAUCGUGCUCCUAGCCUUAAUUGGCCGGGUCGUGUUUCCGGCAUCGUUACUUUGAAGAAAUUAGAUUCCUCAAAGCAAGCCAUUUCCCUGGAUACAUUAGCAUGGGAUAACAUCAUAGGAUAUCAGUCCUAUUGUGUUGGCCUUCGGGAUCAGAGUAAUGAUUAAUAGGGACAGUCGGGGGUAUUUGUAUUUCAUAGUCAGAGGUGAAAUUCUUGUAUUUAUGAAAGAUGAGCAACAGCGAAAGCAUUUGCUAAGGAUGUUUUCAUUAAUCAAGAACGAAAGUUUAGGGGCUCGAAGACGAUCAGAUACCGUCCUAGGCUCAACCAUAAACGAUGCCGACCAGGGAUCGGCGGAUGUUACUUAUAGGACUCCGCCGACACCUUAUGAGAAAUCAUAGUCUUUGGGUU
rnacentral:rRNA from 1 species